GGGGCCAUAGCUCAGUUGGUUAGAGCCUCCGGCUAAUAACCGGGUGGUCCUAGGUUCAAGUCCUUGUGGCCCCACCA
rnacentral:tRNA from 1 species